GAUGAAGAACGUAGCGAAAUGCGAUAAGUAGUGUGAAUUGCAGAAUUCCGUGAAUCAUCGAAUCUUUGAACGCACAUUGCGCCUUCUGGUAUUCCGGAAGGCAUGCCUGUUCGAGAGUCAUUAAAUUCUCAACUACACUGACUUUGAAUUGGUGUGGCUUGGAUUUGGGGGGAAAAUUGUUGUGGGCUUUUUGUAUAGUCUGCUCCCCUGAAAUUGAUUAGCGGUACCUUUGUGGAACUGUCUACAGGUGUGAUAAUUAUCUACAUCUUAGACAUCUGCUGGAAUGCUGCUUUCUAAACCUUACUUGUAUUGACAAUCUUGACCUCAAAUCAGGUAGGACUACCCGCUGAACUUAAGCAUAUCAAUAAGCGGAGGA
rnacentral:misc_RNA from 1 species